AUAGACUUUGGCUUCCGAAAAGAAGACGAAGGCUACGGGGACCUCCUACCGGCUCCGCCUGUGUUCAGGAUGUCUAACAGAUUGGCUAACAAGCCCACAGCUGUUGGUGGAGCACGCGGUGGUGUAAUACAACAGGCUUUUUAUUCUGUGGAAAAUACUUAAGAGCAUCUCCGUGUUUCAGGGAGAAGCUGAGGACGUCCCACCCCCGCCGCUGCGUCACACUAGUCAAAAGCUUUCCGUCAAAGGAAGGGAGCCCGCUCGCUCUAGGUAAAUCAGGGCCCUGUUCCCUGCUUCUCUAGCGGAAGGACUCUCCUGCCCGCCAACGCCGUCUUACUUACCCCAAAGCUGACAAAAUCCCCAGAGCUAUUGCUGCUUCCCCAGCAAGUCCCUCCCUACCUUGUGGACUUGGCAAACAGAUGGGAACCCACUUCCCAGCUCCCCAGCCCAGAGGAGUAACGGAAGGGAGACUGUAGGUGCAUCCCACCUGGGACAGAACACCGAGAUAACAGGAAGAUUGAUAGGGAAACCAAAUCCCAAAGGAAUAAAGCAAGUUUCUCACCUACUUAAUGACAAAUCUGGAUCAUAAACUGAAGUCUCCAAACUGCCAACUCACUACACCAUUUUGGCUUUUGUUUGGGGUGCGUAUGUCUACGUGUUUGCUUCUGUGGGCAGCCCAGUGCAUUGCUCACUAUGUCUUAUUAGACAAUAUAAAAAUUUUAAAAACAACAUAAAAGUUUAAGGCCUAAAAGGGCAAUUAAUACAAUCCUCUAGGCUUAGAGUAUCUGGGGCCAAGAGUCAACAUCUCUCUUCCGCUCCUGAAGAGUCCUAUGGAAGAAGAUUUCACAAUCUCUGUAAGAAGCUAGUUUGGGUCUUUCACAAUCUCUUACAGUUAGAUCACAGGAUCACAGAUUUGGAACUAGGAGAGACCUAGAGGUCAUCAAAUCCAGCCCCUCAUUUUACAAAUGAAGGACAGAGGUUAAUGAGUAGGAAACUUAUUCUCUCUCAUUAUAAUUGAAUCCUUUUUUGUCUUGCUGGAGAUUUCAAUCAACAAGGAAAGACAGGAGUAACUGGGUAGCAAAUGGAUAGAGUUCCAAGUCUGGAGUGGGGAGAACCUGGAUUCAAAUCUGGCCUCGGACCCUUCCUAGCUGUGCCACCCUGGGCAAGUCAUUUGGCCACCAUUGCCUGGCACUGGCAGCUCUUCUGUCUUAGAAUUGAUACGAAGAUGGAAGGUAAGAGUUUUUAAAUAGGGGCAUGGAAAGACAGCUCAGUGCCGUAGAGAGAGCAUGGACCAGACACGGUACGUAUGCUGGAGUCAUCUUAGCUUCUUAUGCCAUUGUGCUUCCUCAUCUCCAGGCUCCUUGGCUUCCUUCCAGUUCCAGCUAAAAAUCUCCCCUUCUCCCCCUUGGCUCUUCACUCUGAGACUAACCCCAAUUUAUCUGGUAUUUUUCUUGUUGGUACAGUUAUUUGCAUGAUGUUUCCCCUUCUCCCCCCACCCCCCUUAGACUGUGAGAGCAGGGAGUAUUUUUUUGCCUUCCCUUACAUCUCUAGCAUUUAGCACAGUGCCUGGGAUAUAACAGUUGAUUAAUAAAUACUUGUUGACUGACUGAUAAAACUUCUCAAUUAGGACAUUGAUUUAGAGCUGAAAGGGACCUUGGAGGUCUUAUGGAGUCCUAACCCUCCCAUAUGCUUGUUCUCUUUUUUUUUUUAACUUUUACCUUGUCUUAGAAUCAAUACUAAAUAUCAAUUCUAAGGCAGAAGAGUGGUAAGGGCCAGGCAAUGGGAGUUAAGUGACUUGCCCAGGGUCACACAGCUAAAAAGUUCUGAAGCCAGAUUUGAACCUAGGUUCUCCAAACUCCAAGUCUGAUGCUUUAUCCACUGAGUCACCUAGCUGCCCCUUCACAGGAUUAUCCUGAGGGCUCAAAAAUUGACAGCAGAAAAAGCAUCUUCUCAGGGCAUGUGAUAAAAAUGACCCUAAACCUCCCUCAUUGAUGGGAUACAUUACCUUAAACUCCUAACGUAGAAUAAGCUCAGAUCUUACUCUUCGCCACAAUCUAAUCAAAAGGAAUUUCCUUAUAAUGGCAACUAACUACAAGAAUCUGACAAAUGCUACCCACCCAUCCAGGGCCAGGGUUCAUUUGUCUUUGUGUCUAAAAGGGCUGUCGGUCCUUGAUGGAGGCUGAAAAAUCUAAGUUCACUUGCUGUCGAACUGCCUGGAAUAUACACAGAUAGUAUGAUCAGUGAGAUUUCCUAGAAUUGACUGACAACUUCAAACCAUGAAUGAGAUUUCACCAUUGGGGGGGGGAGGGGGAAUCCCCAUUGAAGGAGCACAAUCCUAGCUCUUCAACCAAUUGCCAACUUCCUGCAGCUUCCAAAAUUUGUACUGGGAAGAGCUACGUAGAACAGUGAAUAAAGCACACCAGGCCUGGAGUUAAGAGAUCUUGGAUUUAAAUUCAACCUCAGACACUUCCUACUUGUAUGACCCUGGAAGUGCUUCCAAGGAAACGUGCCCCAUGACUUUAGAGAGGACCACAUUUCCAGUCCCAGACACAAGACUGAUAAAGGGAGCGUACAGUUGGCGUGGUGCAAUCUGAGAAGGACUGCUAAGCUGCAGAGCCAGAGUUCACUUCCUUGGUUUCCAUUCCCUCUCUCUUGCUGUCUGGGGAGAGUGGGACAGAAUAGCUGAGGAGGAGUCAGCCUCCAUUCCCCACCUCUCCACCCAGCCAGGAUUCCAAAAGGGAUGACCAGCCCUGGGAGGGUUCUGUGCUAUAGAUGUCUUCAGCUGAGGGUGAGCCAGCCAGGCUGUCCCCGAGGAUUACUGGGCAACCCUGGCUCUAUUUUUCAAAUACAACAGGUUCACUGAAACUCAAGAGAAAAUUUGCCAAGUGUCUGUUCUCUUCAUCUUGAACCCCUUGUGUAUUUUAAGGGAAACUAACCCAUCUGGUUUGGAUUUCAGUAACAAAUAAAUCAGCAUAAUGU